UUUCCGUAGGUGAACCUGCGGAAGGAUUAUUAAUGAGUUGUCAUGGGGUUCGAUGCUGGCAGCCAGUUUUUGGAUGCAUGUGCUUGCCCUAACAAUCAUCUUCUUCCAAACACCUGUGCACAUUUUUGAGGGAGUCUUGAGUUGGUUGCCGCUCUUGGGUGAUUUUCUCACAUUCCCUUAAAUCAUUAUACGCUAUUAACAAUGUUGAACGUGCUCUGUGCCGCAAGGCCAUUAAUAUAAUACAACUUUUAACAACGGAUCUCUUGGCUCUC
rnacentral:misc_RNA from 1 species